CUUCACAGGUUAACCCGUGGCCUGAGUGAGGAAGGCAAUGUCCUUGCUAGUCACUAUUUGUGGCGACAUCUCCAAAUUGCGUGAAACCCGUCAUACAGCUUCAAGUACCACUUCAAUUGAGAAAUCUUUUGAAGGAACAGAGGUAACUCCUCUUCCCAAAGGUAAAAAGCUUGAAGACACGGUGGCAAUGCGCAGCCAAGCUCCUAAGUAUUUUAAAUAUAAGGAGAAGGUUCAGAGAGCAGACGGAGAUGGGCGGUAAUUAUCGCCGCUUAAGGGUGUGCUCCAGCCUCUUUCGAAAGAUUGAG
rnacentral:ncRNA from 1 species